rnacentral:rRNA from 1 species
UACGAAGGGGGGCUAGCGUUGCUCGGAAUCACUGGGCGUAAAGCGCACGUAGGCGGAUUGUUAAGUCGGGGGGUGAAAUCCUGGAGCUCAACUCCAGAACUGCCUUCGAUACUGACGAUCUCGAGUCCGGGAGAGGUGAGUGGAACUCCGAGUGUAGAGGUGAAAUUCGUAGAUAUUGGGAAGAACACCAGUGGCGAAGGCGGCUCACUGGCCCGUAACUGACGCUGAGGUGCGAAAGCGUGGGGGAGCAAACAGG